UAAUAUUUCGUUUAAGGGCGUAUGGUGAAUGCCUUGGGAGAAGUAGGCCGAUGAAGGACGUAGUAGGUUGCGAUAAGCCUCGGGGAGCUGCCAAACAAGCUUUGAUCCGUGGAUUUCCGAAUGGGGAAACCCCUAGAGCCCGUGUCUCACUUUCGUUCGACACAAUCAAACUCAAAAUUCAAAAGUAAAAACUCAAAACUAAAGUAAGCACUUCGUGCUUAUAUAUUAAAUAGUUGUUCCGAAGGAACACAUUAGUUUUGACAUUUGCGAUUUAAGUUUUGAGUUAUGAAGUGGCGAACGGUAGCGAGACACGAGGCGGGUAAGCCGGUGAACUGAAACAUCUUAGUAACCGGAGGAAAAGAAAUCGUAUGAGAUUCCCUUAGUAGUGGCGAGCGAACAGGGAAAAGUCUAAACCCCUCACCCUUUAAAGACAGACGUUGUCUAAUUUAAUCUGCAGAGCAGAUUAAGUCUUUAAAGGGUGAGGGGGGUUGUGGGACUCACAUAAUCCAAUCGAAAGAGUAGAAGAACGAGCCUGGAAAGGACGACCAAAGAGCGUGAUAGUCGCGUAUUCGAAACUCAAGUAGAGGCGAGGUGAUGUUCCCAAGUAGCACCGGACACGUGAAACCCGGUGUGAAUCUGGGGUGAUCAUGCUCCAAGACUAAAUACCACUUCUCACCGAUAGUGAACAAGUACCGUGAGGGAAAGGCGAAAAGAACCCCGCAAGGGGAGUGAAAUAGAACCUGAAACCAUAUGCUCACAAUGAGUAGGAGUCCCUCACCCUUUAAGGACAGACACAUUGUCCAAAUUAAUCUGUGAAACGGAUUAAGUCUUUAAAAGGUGAGGGAUGACUGCGUGCCUUUUGUAGAAUGACCCAACGAGUUAGCUGUGUGUAGCAAGCUUAAGAGAUUUAUCUUGUAGGCGUAGUGAAAGCGAGGCCCAAACGGCCGAUUAGUUGCACACACUAAACCCGAAACCAGGUGAUCUAUCCAUGGCCAGGAUGAAGUUCGAGUAAAAUCGAAUGGAGGUCCGAACCUGUUCUAGUUACAAAUAGUUAGGAUGAGCUGUGGAUAGCGGAGAAAUUCUAAUCGAACCUGGAAAUAGCUGGUUCUCCUCGAAAUAUAUAUAGGUAUAGCCUGGAAUAGACCCCAUUUGGGGUCACAGUCGCAGGAAGAGGUAGAGCACUGACUGAAUUUGCGGGGACUUCGGUUCUCGCGUUCAAACAAACUCCGAAUUCUUCCUGAUUCAUUCCAGAGUCAGACGGCGGGGGCUAAGCUUCGUCGUCGAAAGGGAAACAGCCCAGACCGUCAUCUAAGGUCCCUAAUUAUAAUCUAAGUGGAAAAAGUAGUGGAAUCUCCAAUACAACCAGGAUGUUGGCUUAGAAGCAGCCAUGCAUUUAAAGAGUGCGUAAUAGCUCACUGGUCUAGUUAAGAGGUUCUGCGCUGAAAAUUUAACGGGGCUCAAGAUUAUAACCGAAGAUACGGACUCGCGCUUUGCGCGAGUGGUAGAGGAGCGUUCUUGGUGCAGUGAAGGUCAUCCUGUAAGGGAGGCUGGAGCGCCAAGAAGCGAGAAUGUUGGGAUGAGUAACGAAUUAUCGCGACGAGAAAUCGCGACACCAAAUAACCGAGGUUUCCUGGGCAACGGUAAUCGUCCCAGGGUUAGCCGGGCCUAAGUCGAGGCCGUUGUAGUGGCGGCGUAGACGAUGGACAGAAGGUCAAUAUUCCUUCGCUUUUGUAUAUUAAACUUGGUGACGCUUUGCCGUAGUCAUAAUAGAAGUAUGGUUUAUCUAUUAUGGUGUAGGCGGAGACUAGAAAAACCAAGCAUGUUAUGUAUGCAAAAUCCGUACCGCAAACCGACUCAGGUGGUUGAGGCGAGAAGCCUAAGGUGAUCGGAAGAACCCUCGUUAAGGAACUCGGCAAAUUAGCAGCCGUAAGUUAGCAAUAAGGCUUCCCAGCCCUUUCGCAAGAAAGAGCUGGGCGCAGCGAAAGAGUCCAGGCGACUGUUUAUCAAAAACACAGGUCCCUGCUAAAUCGUAAGAUGAUGUAUAGGGGCUGAUGCCUGCCCAAUGCUCGAAGGUCAAACCGGUCCCUGAUUCCCCGUCGCAAGACGAGGGACUAGGGGAACGACUAAGCCCGAGUGAAUGGCGGCCGUAACUAUGAAAUGGACCAUUGUAGUUAUAAAAUUUAGCCAUAUGCUGGAACAUCUGGUUAUUCCUUUGCUACUACCAUCCAUAAGGUGGUAUGUAACAAUGUAAAGGUACAGACAAUCAGCAGGAAAGACUCUGAAUAAAAUCAGGGAAUCCUCAGAGACUACACGCUAAACCAAUAUAUUGAAAUAGAAACGAUAUAUUUGGAUGAUAUAGUCCGAUCUGCAUGGUGACAUGCAGUGCUAAAUAGAAAUAUUUAGCCAUCGAUAUUAAAUAUCGAAAGUAACAAUAUGAACGGUCCUAUGGUAGCGAAAUUCCUUGUCGGGUAAGUUCCGACCCGCACGAAUGGCAUAACGAUCUGGACGCUGUCUCAACGAGGGAUCCGGUGAAAUUACAUAGUCGGUAAAGAUGCCGAUUACUCACAGCAAGACGGAAAGACCCCGUGGAGCUUUACUAUAGCUUGAUAUUGGCUCGAGAAAAUUCAUGUGUAGAAUAGGUGGGAGACUGUGAAGUCCCGACGUCAGUCGGGAUGGAGUCAACAGUGAAAUACCACCCUUGAAUUUUUUUGAGUCUAACUUUGGCCUGUGAUACGGUCGAAGGACAGUAUUUGGUGGGUAGUUUAACUGGGGCGGUUGCCUCCUAAAUUGUAACGGAGGCGUUCAAAGGUACGCUUAGCCCGGAUGGAAAUCGGGCCUCGAAGUAUAAAAGCAUAAGCGUGCUUAACUGCGAGACUUACAAGUCGAACAGACGCGAAAGCGGGAUUUAAUGAUCCGGUAAACUCUAAUGAUAGAGAUACCGCUCAACGGAUAAAAGUUACCCCGGGGAUAACAGGCUGAUCGCAUCCAAUAGUCCACAUAGACGAUGCGGUUUGGCACCUUAACAUUGGGGUGCUAUGGAAGUAAUUCCAUACCAAAAAUGCGGCUUAUAACGGUGAACCCCUAUUGUUUGUUCGGGAUAUAUUCGGUAAUAUUAUAGAAUAUAAGAAUAAACAAGGGCGAUACCGUGGGAAGUCGGUUAAUUUGAUGAUAGAUGAUAGAGCGUAGAAAAUAGAAUUUGAAGUUAGAAAAUGGAGGCUCGAAUGAUUCAAUCGUUCAGAGAUUUAGAAGUUUACAAAGAAUCGUAUGCUUUAAUGCUAAUUGUUCAUAGAGAAAUUAAAAGAUUGCCGGUUUACGAACGCAAUGAUUUAGCAUCUCAAAUGCGCAGAGCAUCAAAAUCUCCUCCUGCAAAUAUUGCAGAAGGUUGGGCAAAACGAAGGUUUGAAAAAGAAUUCAAAAAACAUCUUGACACUUCUGUUGGUUCGGCCAAUGAAAUGGAAGUACAUAUUGAGAUGGCGAGAGACCUUGGUUAUUGGUCACCAAUAUUUUGUAACGAUUUGCUUAAAAGAUAUAAGAAUCUUGGUGGCAAGAUAGUAAAUCUUCGGAAUAACUGGAAAACUUUCUAACAUCAACCUUCUAAUUUCAAUAUCUAUCUUCUAUCUUCUAUUUAUCUAUCAUCAAAAAAAACUUGACCCCGUAACGACUGAUUCGAAAGAUGAGAUUUGUCAUUAAUUUGACAGAUAAUACGCCGCUUCCUACUUAUCAAAACAAAGGAUAUGGUUUUUAACCUAAAGUCCGGUUGUAGGAUAAAGAUAUAGUCUACACCAUAAGUAAUUAUGGACAAAGGUACGAUGUCGGCUCAUCCUAUCCUGGAGGUGAAGCAGCUUCCAAGGGUCUGGCUGUUCGCCAGUUAAAAGGGUACGCGAGCUGGGUUCAGAACGUCGUGAGACAGUUCGGUCCUAAUCUGCUGUGAGCGUGGAAAUUUGAGCGGGUGUUCCCCUAGUACGAGAGGACCGGGGAGCGUAGACCACUGGUGUAUCUGUUGUCGAUACCAUCGGCAUUGCAGAGUAGCUAUGUCUUACUUGGAUAAGCGCUGAAAGCAUAUAAGCGCGAAGCCAGCCGCAAGAUUAGAUUUCUUAGAUUCCUUAUAGAUAAUGAGGUUGAUAGGCUUUAGGUGUAAGGGUAGCGAUAUCCUCAGCCAAGAAGUACUAAUUGAUCAAUUAGAAUAUUAUU
rnacentral:rRNA from 1 species